rnacentral:rRNA from 1 species
AUUGAACGCUGGCGGCAGGCCUAACACAUGCAAGUCGAGCGAGCGGCGGACGGGUGAGUAAUGUCUGGGAAACUGCCUGAUGGAGGGGGAUAACUACUGGAAACGGUAGCUAAUACCGCAUACCAUCAGAUGUGCCCAGAUGGGAUGAGCUAGGAGGUGGGGUAAAGGCCUACCAAGGCGACGCUCCGUAACUGGUCUGAGAGGAUGAUCAGUCACACUGGAGCGUAGACACGGUCCAGGCUCCUACGGGAGGCAGCAGUGGGGAAGAUUGGGCAAUGGGCGAAAGCCUGAGCCAGCCAUGCCGAGUGUGUGAAGAAGGUCUUCGGAUUGUAAAGCACUUUAGGUUGGGAGGCGUUACCAACAGAAGAAGCACCGGCUAACUUCGUGCCAGCAGCCGCGGUAAUAC